AAGGCUAAAUACUCCUGACUGACCGAUAGUGAACCAGUACCGUGAGGGAAAGGCGAAAAGAACCCCGGCGAGGGGAGUGAAAAAGAACCUGAAACCGUGUACGUACAAGCAGUGGGAGCACCUUCGGGUGUGACUGCGUACCUUUUGUAUAAUGGGUCAGCGACUUAUAUUCUGUAGCAAGGUUAACCGUAUAGGGGAGCCGCAGGGAAACCGAGUCUUAACUGGGCGUUAAGUUGCAGGGUAUAGACCCGAAACCCGGUGAUCUAGCCAUGGGCAGGUUGAAGGUUGGGUAACACUAACUGGAGGACCGAACCGACUAAUGUUGAAAAAU
rnacentral:rRNA from 1 species